rnacentral:rRNA from 1 species
UUAAGCAUAUCAAUAAGCGGAGGAAAAGAAACCAACUGGGAUUGCCUUAGUAACGGCGAGUGAAGCGGCAAUAGCUCAAAUUUGAAAGCUGGCGUCUUCGGCGUCCGCGUUGUAAUUUGUAGAGGAUGCUUUGGCGAGGACUCCUGCCUAAGUUCCCUGGAAUGGGACGUCACAGAGGGUGAGAAUCCCGUAUGUGGCGGGCGGUCCAAGCCAUGUGAAGCUCCUUCGACGAGUCGAGUUGUUUGGGAAUGCAGCUCUAAAUGGGAGGUAAAUUUCUUCUAAAGCUAAAUACCGGCCAGAGACCGAUAGCGCACAAGUAGAGUGAUCGAAAGAUGAAAAGCACUUUGGAAAGAGAGUUAAAAAGUACGUGAAAUUGUUGAAAGGGAAGCGCUUGCAACCAGACUCGUUCGCAGUUGCUCAGCCGGCCUCUUGGCCGGCGUACUCUUCUGCGGUCGGGCCAGCAUCAGUUCGGGCGGCUGGAUAAAGGUGUCGGGAAUGUAGCUCCCCUCGGGGAGUGUUAUAGCCCGGCGCGGAAUGCAGCCAGCCUAGACUGAGGAUCUCGCUUCGGCAAGGAUGCUGGCGUAAUGGUUGUAAGCGGCCCGUCUUGAAACACGGACCAAGGAGUCUAACAUCUAUGCGAGUGUUUGGGUGUCAAACCCACACGCGUAAUGAAAGUGAACGGAGGUGGGAACCCGCAAGGGUGCACCAUCGACCGAUCCUGAUGUCUUCGGAUGGAUUUGAGUAAGAGCAUAAAUGUUGGGACCCGAAAGAUAGUGAACUAUGCCUGAAUAGGGUGAAGCCAGAGGAAACUCUGGUGGAGGCUCGCAGCGGUUCUGACGUGCAAAUCGAUCGUCAAAUUUGGGUAUAGGGGCGAAAGACUAAUCGAACUAUCUAGUAG